UUUUUUUUUUUUUUUUUGUAAUGGUUCUCGCCCUAGUGCUUGGCACGGGCUGGUUGUAUGGUGAAUUGAGAACCUUUGUAUAUUCAACGUUUGUACUUCCUUUUGAGAUAGCAAUGUAUAUAAGUUUCAUUUUAAAUUUUCGAUUUUGCCAUAUGAAUUCUUGUGGUUUUAUUUCGGAUUUGUUUGAGUGAAUGACUGAGUCCCGGCGAGAGUUGGGCAGGCAGUCCGCUAAACCCUUUGGUUCGCCUUAGGGGAAGGUGGGACUGUCACAGCACCCGAUUCCUCUCUUCCUCCCUCUUACUCUCUAUCUCACUCUCUCGGUCUCUUCAGAAGCUCUCUCCCAAGUUCCAGGCUUUUCUCCCUUUUCGUGCUCUAUUUUCUUCCCCCCUUUUGGUUCCCAGAUUUUUCAGUUUCAGUCCCCUCCCUCAAUCUUCCAGAAUCUCUCUCGGUUCCUCUCUUGCUUUUUCCUCUACCCCGCAACUUCCUCCCCUAAUCUCUCUCGGUUUCCUCCUUUCUCCAGCAUGUAGCUCUCUAGUUUUUUCCCUCCAGCCACCGCCCCAUUCUCUUCUUGUUGUCUUCCUCCUAAUGGAUGCAUUUUCAUCCAUUUAUAUGGUACCAAAAUCCCCAAAACCUUUGGAGCAACGAUGGGGAUGAAGCUGCAUUUUUUGUGCCCUUUUGAGCCGUUUGAUGCUCUUAUUUCCAGAAUAUUCUUGACAUCUUCUGGUGAGUGAGGUGGCAUUGUGUACUGGUAAUCUUGGAGAAAAAGAAAAUGAAGAAAAAUCCCAUUUGUUGCUUCUCAUUUCCAGCUGCGAAAAUCUGGUACAUGGCCUUGUCAAUGGCGAUGUACGAAGAGGAUGAUGAAUAGUACGCUGUUUGCACACGCGUGAGGAUCUGUUCCUUUUUUUUGUUAAAAUUAAUUUAGGUAAACAAACAAAGUUAAUUCCUAAUUGAAGUUACCUUGCCAAAUUUUUAUUUAUUUUAAAGAAAUUAAAUCUAAGAGGGUUAAAAACUCAUUUUUGAAUUUUAUGAGGAUUUUCCUUUUCAAAAUUUUAAUGCAAAAAUAUAUUAAAAAUAAAAAUUAUGAACCUAAUUUAUGAAAAUAAGCAAAAAUGAAUACCAACUAUCAUUUAAUCAAUAAAAUAAAACAAUAAUAACAAUAAUAAUAAUAAAUAGAACUAAAAUUGAAUUAAAUAAAAAUCAAAAUUUUGGUGUCUACAAGUUGGAUGUAUUUAGUUGCUUAUUUCUUAGAGUCUUGUGAACCUUUUAGUUAGGAGAAUAAAUUUGGCCAACUUUUGCUUUAAGUUGGGCCUUAAUUAGUUCAUUAAUUGGUUAGUUAAGUAGUGUAAUCUUUGUGAGAACACGAAAAUUUCUUUAUUUUCUAGUCAUUGUUUUAUUUUCAUGCAUACAAUUUCUAUACCUUUCUUUAUUAUAUUAAUUUUUGAGAGAUUGUUAUAAGGGAAUUAAGUUGGUAAGACAUUUUUUUCCGGUACAAGUUAAUCCAUGUGACAUUAGUAGUAUAUAUUGGACGUGGGACCCGCUAGUGCGAUAAAAUUUUGAUGACUAGGUGGCGUUGUAUUAGGAAAUAUUAUUUUUACAAGGUGCUCGGGCAUAAUUAGAGAUUAGUUAGGUAAAUUAACCAUUGGUAGCCAAAAGGAUGAGAAUACACCCUAGUUUGCCAUUUGUCGCAAAACCAAUGGAUGGUGGACUUUGAUCAAGACCUUCUUACUUCUUCUAAACACAAAAAUUUGACUAAAAUUCUCUUUUAUUUUGACUCAAUUACUUUAUGAUAGCUAUACUACUCAUUUACCUCUCCAAUGGUUGGAAUAAAGAAUAGAACUAAGAGUUUUCCUUUUACUUUCAUCGUUAGGAUAAACUAGGGUUUGUACGUCUUUUGGUAGUGUGAUUAAUCGGUACGGAGUGUGUACUAAAUUGAAUGGUUAAGAGUGAGUUUUAGAUAAGAAAAGUGUGUGAUUAGAAGCAAUAAUAAUAAGUUAGUGAAUUGUAAGUGCAAACCCUAGUACAUGCGAGUUAAGGAAAAACGGUGUGAACCGAAGUGUACCGUUCGCUACCGAUUGAAUACACCACUUGACCACCACCUUAUUACCUUAAUCCUCUUGUUAUUAUUUCAUAAAUAUCAGUCCUUAAUUAUCCUAGAAAGAGCCAAAAUUAUUGACCAAAAAGAAAGGAAAAAGAAAGAAAAUUAAAGAUUUAAUCUUGAGGUGACAAUUGGUGACCAUCCAAGGGUUGUUUGACCAACCAAUUUCCAUCUUUUUUAUCACCAAAUUCAUUUCAUUUUCUCUUCAUUUCUGAACAUUUCAGCUGAGCUUGAGGAGAGAAGAAACCAAGUGAGCAAACUCCAACUUCCAUCUUGAAUCAUGUUAGUUUGAGAGAAAUCACCCAACCCAAACCGAUUAAACUUUCAUUUUAGUACUUAGGAAGCUUUGUGUGGUAAAAUUGUGGAAGAAAGGGUGUGGUUCUCAACUACAAGCACUUUUUGGAAGAUAUCAUGGCUGUCUUUCCUUUUUCUCUGCUUUAAUCUUGUCUAAGUUUGGAUAGAAUUUUAUAUUUUUGGCUUAAGAUGGUUAAUCUGUUAGUUUGGAUGAUAUGUUGGAUUGUUGAGCUAGAGUUUGAGAUUUUCAGUGUGUUUAUUGUUGUUUACAUAGUAUAUGAUGUGGAGGAGCUUGGAUAGGGACUUGGGUAGUGAUUUAAGACAUCAAUGUGAUUAGUAAGCAUUGAAUCAUCAAAUUUUCAGCUUUAGAGAGGAAUUUGUUCUGCUUCUGACCUGUUUAAUUCGUCCAUGUUAAAGGCUGAAUCAAGCCUAGGUCAAAACAUGAAAGUUGUAGGGAAUGGAGUUAUAUAGCUUCCUAUAAAAUUUCAGCUCAAUCAGAGUACUGUAGCAUGUAAAAUGACAAAAUUACGCCUGACUGCCAAAUGCACUGUUUCGUGGACAGUUUUCUGUUUUCUCUAAAAUUGCACAUUUUGACCUUGAAAAUGAACGAAUUGGCUGUCAAUUCUUCAUAAGACUUGUAGUUCUAUGUCUUAGUUUUGAAACGGUAUAAAGUGUACCCCAAAAUGAUAGGUGUAGCUUCAGUUGUGAUCGAAAUGCUAAGAGACGUCAAACCUGCUAUUUUGUUGUUUGUCCUUAAACUUGGUUUCCGGUCGCAUUACUAGUAUUGUUUUGUAAUUGAAUGACAUUAAACCUAGUUGAAGGGCUAUUGUGGUAACAUUGUUUGUGUGUGACUUUGGGGCUAAUUUGAGGAAAACAAUGAAACCAUAAAUAGCUGGAAAAUAGCUAAAUACAAAGGGCAUGUUGCCCAAAUUUUCACUCAAGGGCUAGUUGGAUGUACUCGCGACUUGUAUAAAAGGUUUUAGGGUUGUUCAUGUUUUAAAACCAACUGCUACCUUUUUACUCAAAUGCCACAUUGUUAUUUUUUUGUACUAGUAGUUAACUUGACUAGACACACGACUUGUAGUCAAGCCUCAUUUGUGCAUUCCGUUUCCUGGGUUUGUGGAUGGGGAAACCAUAAUUAUUUUACCUUGGUUGUUGUUAGGACGUGACGGCGAUCAAAGCCAUCCUUUGGGAGAAAAUUUUUGAAGUUAUCUUUACUUGAACUGGUAAGUGUACCAUUCCCCUGAUUUGUUGUUUAACUGAUUUAUUUGUACUUGAAAUCUGUGACUUGAAUGACUAUGAACUAUGUUUAUUCUGAAUGAGACGAAGAUGUACUUUAUCACACUCGUUCUCUUGCCUGUGUGAUUGUUUUACUGUGUGAAUUUGAAUCUCUUAUCUGUGUCUGUUCUGACGUCGUUUGAAGGCUUGUAUCCAACAACCCUUCUGUGACCUCUGAGCUCAAAUCUUGUGGCUAGUUACUCGAGUCGAGCCGACAAGAGUCUGGCCGAUUAGAUAACGAGCCACGGUAGUCUCUUUUUGGGAAAUCUUUGGGUAUUGGAGACUCUGGAUUUUCGGUAUACUCGAGUAUUACCACCGCUGUUCCUGUUGAGGCAUUCGGGCCCAGCAAGGGGUAUGUUCGGUGGACGGAAUUUGAUGUCAAGUGGGGUCUACGGUCAUGUUUGCUUCUUCGAACGUUGACGGAGCAUCAACGAGUUGGGAUCAAGUACUGCAAUGGGAAUUUUGGCUCCUGAGAGCCACUUGUAUCCUUUCUCUUUGAGGUGUUUGUUCAUUUCCUUAUUUGGUGUGCAUAUGUGACUGAUUGAAAGUGAAGUUCCAUGAUUCUUGACUGUUAAUACUUUUGGUACCUCAUUGAGCAUAAGCUCACCCCCUUCCCGUUACCUUUUGUUUUCUUUUCAAGGAACAACAUUUUUUAUCCGUGACUUUGAAGAAGGGAGUAGAGCGAGUUAUAGUUAUGUUUUUUUUAAGCUCCUCUAUAUUAGUAAACCCUAAUUGGUGCUGGAUACAUUAGGGAUAUCCGAUCUUGUAUUGCUAGUUGAUAUGUUGAAAUUUUCAAUGUACGUAUUUAAGUGUUUAAACAUGUCUCUUCGGUUUAUGUGGCUGAAAUAGUACGUUUUAUGGUUUUGAUGAACUUUCUUGUAUCCAUUGGGGGAAAUCAAUCAAGUACAAAACUUGAACGAGGAAGGAAAAAAUUUGAUCGGAUUCUGAUGUGGCCGCAGUCCUUUGCACUUUUCGUUGGAGCGUUUACUCAUUUCGUUUAGGGUAUUGUCAUUUCCGAUAGUUCGUAUUCUCAAAGUUCUUUUACAAGUCAUGUAGGGUUUACGUAUGUUUUGGAUCCGUAGUCCUAGCGAGAGUUGGGCAGGUGAUCCGCCGAUCCUUCGGUUCGCCUUAGAGGAAGGCAGGGCCGUCACAAUCUUGGCACAUUUGGUUUUGUAAUUUGGCUAUAAAUAGCCAACCUUUAGAAGCAUAAUGCAUGGCUUUGAGAAUAAUUCAACAAUUAGUUUCUUGAGUGAAACAAUUCUUUGGCUUGUGAAAGCUACUUUUGAAUAUCUUAAGAGUAGUUCCUAAGGUACUCAUCAACUUAUAAAUUAAGUAGUCAAUUUGAUUGUGGUGUCAUCUGCCAAUCUAUACAUUCUUGUGCGGUCCAAGUUCGAUUAGAUUUUUGUUGGUCAAACAUUGAUACUAUCCAAUUCUUGAUCCUGUGGCUUGUGUGUUAUGGAUUACGGUAGGGUGUAAAAUGUAUCAAUACAUGAAUCUAACAUGUGAAUAGAGGUAUAGUUUAGCAUUGAACUAGUAAGGAAAUAGGAAAAGGUCAUAACUAACAUUGGACUAAUGUGGUAAUGGCAUACAUUUAAUAGUUAUAUAAUUAUAAUAAGGGAAUAAAGUAUGAAUUAAAAUAGGUAAACACAGCAAUAGAGCACGUAACAAAUAAGCAUAAUAUCUAGAUGCAAAUUAUAAUAAAAACAUGUGAACUCGCAAGCACUUAGGAGCAUGUAAGACACACAAACUCUAUCUAUUAUAUUUGGGAACCUAACUAUAAUUUAAAGGGAAAAUGAUGAAAAUAAACCAAUCUAUUACAUAUGGGGUCCUAACUACAAUCUAGCAAGGGAGAACAAAAAAACAAGAACCUAACAAUUUUAUUUAAUUAAAUAACUACAACUUGAUAAAAAUUAGAGUAAAACAAACAAGCAUUUUAAAAUCAAAUUCAGACUAAGUAGGUAAUGUAAUGGCAAACUACGAAACUAAAACCACUUAGAGCACAUAGACAUGUAAAAGCACAUAAUUGAAUGUAAAAGCAAGAAGGGAAUCUCCCUUUGAAAUGUUAGUUCAAGGUUUUCCUAUUUAGAGCUCACAACAUCAAUAAAGAGGUAAAAGUACUGCAAUCAUAUCAUGGUUAUAAAAAAAAAACUCGAACCUAAUUGAAGCUAUUUAGUUGGAAUAAUCAUAUAAGACACAUAAAAAUAGAUAAGAAUGCAUAAUUGUGGAACAAAAUAGGAAUCAAUAGAAUCCAACUACCAUAUAUGUGUGUGUGUACCAUAUUUAAAAGUAUGUCCCAAAGAAUUCAAAAGAAAUAAGCCAUGGAUUCUGUCAUGGCACUUAUCUUCCUUUAGCUUUAAUGCCCUCUUCAUCUGCAGUACGUGUGCAAUCAGUUCAAUUCAUCUUCAGCCCCUAUACAAUAUGGCAAGGAACCCUAUCUGGUGGAGGGGUAGCACAACUGCCCACAACUGGAUUUGAAUCACUCUCCAAGUCAUCACUCUCUAUAGAAGUACCAACUGUGACGACCCCAUCUCACUCUAGAACGAACCCUAGGGUUUAGGCCUGACUCUCGUCAAGAUUCACUCACUCACAUUAACUUUAAAUAUAACAUUAAUUUAGAUUAACUACUAACAAUCCAUUCACACUUACAUAUCCUCAACCAAAACAAGAGUCAUCUUAACUAUAUCAAUUAAUAUGUACAUUCCUCAAAAUAAUAAGUCUGCAUAACUUUACUUCAAAUACAAAAGAUUCACCAACGUAGAAUUCCAAGUUUCGAACUUGUACUACUGGCUUCUCACAUACCCGUUUUCCACUCUUGUAAGGAAAACAACUAUAAGGGUUGAGCUGAUACCCAGUGAGGUUCCAAGUGAACCCAUGAUAUGAAUUCGACCCAACAAGAACCUAUCUUGAAGAACCGAAUAGAUCAGGCAGCGAAAGGAUCUUUUUUGACUAGAUUAUAGAACAAUAACUAUCUUGCUAGACCUAAAGAGAACCCGUCUCUAGAAACCUAGUGGAUUGGUUAUUGGCUUGAACAAUAACUACCUUACUAGAUCUAAAGAGAACCCGUCUCUAGAAACCUAGUGGAUUAGUUAUUGGCUUGAAAGAACAAGAUGAUGUAAUCAUCUUGCCUUGAACACCACAAGUAUCCAAGCUAAAUACUUGAUACAGUUCAAGAAGAAACUCAAGUUCCAUCAAGGAACUCCAUAAAAGGAGACAACUUUCUUUUUAUUAAUUCAUCUUCAAUAUCAUAUAUCUUCCUCAAUAGUUAAAUAAAGUUGGGUAUUUAUAACCUUACAAGACUCUGAAACCUAAUCUAAGUUGGAAACAAUACAAAUUUCCUUAUUUAACUCGACUUAUAAACUUGACACAACUUCCUAAAUAAAUUUGGAAGUAAAUAACUAUUUUCCUAAAACUCUAACUCAAUUAGAAUAGGAAACUAACUCACUCAAUUGGCUUAACUAUGGUCGACAUGACCUUAGCCUUUAUUUCCCUUAUUAAGAACUCAAAAAUAACCCAAGACUAACUAACAAAUAUUGCUGGAAACUUACUUAAAUAAAUAACAAGAAAUAAGCAUGACAAAUCUUCAAUGAAUCUUGAACCCGAUUGCACCAUCAACCAUCAAACGAAUUUCCAAAUCUUGAUUGAUAUCUUGAUUGAUUUCCAAAUCUUGAAGGGAAUCCAAAUCUUCAUGUUCUCUUCAACCCAUCCAUCCCAAAAUAAUCAUAACAAUCACAAAUCAGUCAUAAAGCAUGAUAUAUAUAUAUAUAUAUAUAUAUAUAUAUAUAUAUAUCAAUUAGCAAUCUAAAACAAGGAACACGUUCAAUGUGAAAGGAUACGGCACUAAUACAAGCUAUAGAGGUGACUCCUGUCCGAUUCUAGACAUAGCACUUACUCUUGUUCAGUGAUUCAGUGUCAUUUCCUAAGUAACAGUACCCAAUAUUCUCCUUCCAGUGUUCGAUGAUUACCUCUCUGUGGGGACUAUCGUCCUACUCGACCGAGCCUGUUACUAACUCAAAUAGGCUGAAAGUUGAUGGGGUUUGGGUCCAAAAUGGUCAUGCACAGUUAACAGUACCAGUUAAACAAUUGAUGGUUCCAAAAGUAAGUAGGUCGAAUACGAUAAAGUACACACUCGCCUUUUAUCAGUGAAUAAUAAUAGCAAUUUAAGUUGAAAACUCAAACAAUUACACUUAGCAAUCCAUCAAUUCACCAAGCAAUAAGCCACAACCAUACUUGAACAUUUAAUCAUGAAUACAUACGAGGACCACUCACCCAAUCAAGUGGACAGUCAUGCCUCGGUUUCAGGGUUUCCUUCUAGCUCACCACUGACUCUUGAGAUAUGUCCAAGCUACAAUUACUCGACCUUUCAACAAAACUAACUUUCUUUCCAAAACUACUAAAUUAUAUUAGUCAAAAUAAGUGAAAUAACACAUAACCCUAGUUUUAAAAAAGGGUUAUCAAACAUUGAGGUAAAAAGGUAUAGAGUUGUUGCAACCAAAUUCUUGAAAAUAAGAUCGGAAAGCUUGCCCUCACUCUCAAUUUCUUUUGACAGAAUUUUGUCAUCAAGAUUACUUCAAAUUUUCUCCAAAAACAGUGAAUUUAUUCAUGCAUGUCCUGAUUAGAAAAUUAAGAGGUCAAUAAACCAAUAUGUGCAAGUUUGCAGUCAAUAUUUUAGUGUUAAAUCUUGAAAGAAAAUGGUGAUUAUGGUGACAUUUGGGCUCCAAGCAGAAAUUCCAGCAUUACCACUCCAAUUCCCUUAUAACUUUUGGGAUUUAGCACACCAAAAUUUGACAAAUAACUUUUAACAAAGUAUCUCAUUUGAAUGUAUAGUAAAAUAGCAACAAAAUUUUGAAUUAUGGGCUGAAGUUUAGCCAUGGUUCAAGGCUAGAAGUUUCCUCCAAAACAGGUUACAUGCAAGUGGAUUUCUAAUCCAAAACUCAACUUUCUUUCAUGGUUCAGGCAUAAAUCAUACAAUAUAUCAUGAACUAUAAACCAUGAAUUUCCUUUAAAAACUUAGGAAAAAAUGGAAGCCACAAGCUGGAAAAACACAGCUUCACCCUAUGGUUCAGACAAGAAAGUUUCUAGCAUGUCUCUCUUCACUUUUCUCACCAAAACAGCACUCCACUUACUCACUUUCAACCAUAAAUCACCCAAUAAUAGGCUUGUAACAUGACAUAAGGUAUUAAUCGGGCAUUCUAGCAAAAUUCAGCAAAGAAAUUUGCAUCUAAGAGCUCAAAACUCAAGCCUCUUCCACGGUUCCAAAGCUGGAAAAAUUUCCAGCAAGAAGGCAGUUUGCCAAAUGAACUUUCCUCCUACAAAACUCUUUAUUUUUUCACUCAAACCCAACAUGCAUGUAAAGAUUAGUGAGUUAUAAAAUAUAUUGAACAAAAACCUGAAAUUUUACAGCCAAAAGUCAUAAAGAAACUGGAAAAAUUCUUUCUCUCCCUCACUCAGCCAGUAAAGCAAGAUUUCCAGCAGUUCCUUCAAACUGUUUCCAUCUAAGUUAUCAACUUCCUACUAAAUUCAAAGGUAAACAUACUGUAUAUAUCAUGCAAAGCAAGAAUAAGACAUAUAUCAUACAUUCCUAGUAAAAUCUUCUCCACAAUUUCGAAUGAAAAGCUGUGAAACAAGAUUGUCCAUAACAUGCUUAAUGCACGGCUUCAACCUGGAAAUUUCAGCAGCCACAAUCUCACAUGCACUCUAUAUUUUCACCAACAUUCAUCUAUGAAAAGGGAUUCAAGGAUUUUCUAGCAACUUGCAGCAAAAUAAGAGCCAAAAUCUGGAAAAAAAAAAAAAAGUCAUCUCUAGUUCGGUCCAAGCUGGGAAAUUUCCAGCAAUGAAACAAGUUUCUACUACCAGUUUCUACUUCAAUCCAACCUCAAACCAAACAUGCAUCCAAAUCCCCCUAAAGUAUAUAGAAAGGCUGAAGUUUCUAGUCAUGUUACCUUAUUUUUCUGCUACAACUCAAUCUGGAGGUUAGCUCACCUUCCUACUUUCUCCUUGGCUGGAAAUGGAGGCAAGGCAAAGUGUUUCUCUCAGCUGAAAAUGGAGACAAGGCACUCUGGUUUCUCUCGGCUGAAGUGUAGCAAGACAAGGAGAUUCUCUCAACUCUUUCUUCUAGUUUCUCUCAGCUGGAGUGGAGGCAAACAACAGAAAUUUUCUCAGCUCUCCCUCAAGUUCUCUCGGCUGGAAAUGAAGCAAGACAAAGGAAUUAAUUCUCUCAACUCUCUCUCAAGUGCUCUCGGAUGGAAUGGAGGAUGAUAAGAGAAAAUUCCUUUUUGGUCACUAAAUUAUUUUUUACAAGAGAAAACUUUCUCUAGUUUCUCUCAAUUCUCAAUUUGGUCACUAAAUUCCUUUUUUCCCUCUAAUUUUGGAAUUGUUUGUGUUAUUUUAAUUUUUUUGCUACUCGUUGGGCUAUUAUUCUCUAAGUUUUGAGAAUUCCAAUAAACACUAUCUUUGAGUGUGACAGUUUUAUAGUUUAUGGACUAAAGUGUCACAAUUUGCAGUUUAGGAAUUAAAGUAAAAAUUUAAGGAUAAUUGAGGAAUGCAAACUAGAACUAACUCAUCUUAUUAGUAUGCCCCAAAUUUAGUAUGACGCAGAUAGCCCCAACAAUCUGAAGAUCUGCAUACAUUACAAUUAGUAUAUUGUUACCUACGCUUGUCAUUCGCUCUUAUAAUGAGGGUAUUGUAGGAAAGAAAACAACAUUAAUAGUGUCAAUUCAGGUUCAUAUAGAAAAAUGAAUAGGGAUCUAGAUCCUCUGUUGUCGAAGGAGAUUGAAUGCAUGACACAAAUUUCAAUGUAUCAAAAAAAGUUGUUCUGUUUUGCAUCUUCUUGUAUUAGUGUCUACAUUUAUUAUGUUAGCGUCUAUAUCUGUUGUUCUUAUGUCUACACUGCACAAACUAUCACCAGUAGCCCCUGAUCCAAAAAAGGGAAUUGUAAACGGUAAAAGCAUAGCCAGUAGUGAUGUACUUAAAACCUCGUUUAUGAGAACCAAGAAGAGCAAUUUCUAAGGUGUCACUCAAGUUGUGCUGAAUUUUCAGCAAACCUGCUUGUGAACGAGGGACGGAAGGUCAUCAUUAGUAAUCUGCUUUGUGAAGUUGGCCAGUUUUUCAGGUUCUACAGUAAUCUUUAACUAUAACAGCGUCUAAUAAAUUGUUGGAAUCAAACACCAGAAAAUGAGAACAAAUUUACAGAGAAGAUAACUACCUCAUAACAGGAAAAGCUCAAUUCAAAAGAUGGCAUUGCAAUCCUUUAAUUCAAGAUAAUUCAAGUAUGAUUACAUUGCUAACAGCAGUCAUAUCAAUCAUUUCCUCUUACAUAACAAACAGCUGAAACUUCUAUGCUGUUGUAAGUGAAAAACAAUGGUCACUUUUCAUGGAUGCAUUAGCUGCACCUAUCGUCUAUAAUACAUAUAGAAUGGAGUUAUUACA
rnacentral:lncRNA from 1 species